rnacentral:misc_RNA from 1 species
UGUUAUCUUUAACCAUUUUUGUGAGUAAAAUAUCAAGGGAAGAGGUUGCUCGGAUUUGUGUUGCUGCUAUGGAAAGCCUGUAUGCAUAGCACAAGACAUUUGAGGUUAAAAGUGUGAUUCCAUUUAGUGAACCAUUUACAGUGGACCCUGAAAACCCACCUCCAGAGAAGGAUUACAAUGAAUAUUUUAAAACUUUGAAGGAUGGUGUUACAGGAAAAGAAUACCUAGAACGUAGUGCUGUUCCAGUGUAGUGCCCACGGAUGACAGAUCAUACCCCUACAAUUACAAAAUAAUGAAGCAGACUUGUAGAGGAUUCAUUAGGCAGCCAAGCAAGAAAAGAGAAACUUGAAGCAGUUAGUGACUGAUGUUGGAGUGUAGAAAAUAUAUUGUCUUCAACGACUAAUGAAAAAAAUGAACUCAACUUUUGUAUAUUUUAAGCUGUGUAUAUACCAAAUUU